UACGUAGGGUGCAAGCGUUGUCCGGAAUUAUUGGGCGUAAAGAGCUUGUAGGCGGUUUGUCGCGUCUGCUGUGAAAUUUCGGGGCUCAACCCCGAACUUGCAGUGGGUACGGGCAGACUAGAGUGUGGUAGGGGAGACUGGAAUUCCUGGUGUAGCGGUGAAAUGCGCAGAUAUCAGGAGGAACACCGAUGGCGAAGGCAGGUCUCUGGGCCAUAACUGACGCUGAGAAGCGAAAGCAUGGGUAGCAAACAGG
rnacentral:rRNA from 1 species